rnacentral:rRNA from 1 species
GUCUAGGGCCCAUACCUCCCUGAACAUACCUGUUCUCAUCUGAUCUCAGAAGCUAAGCCGGGUCAGGCCCAAAGUACUUGGAUGGGAGACCACUUGGGAAUACUGAGUGCUAUAAGCU